rnacentral:rRNA from 1 species
UACGUAGGGGGCUAGCGUUGUCCGGAUUUAUUGGGCGUAAAGCGCGUGUAGGCGGUUAGACAGGUCCGACGUGAAAUCUCCAGGCUCAACCUGGAGCGGUCGUUGGAAACCGUCUGGCUAGAGUCCGGAAGAGGAGAGUGGAAUUCCUGGUGUAGCGGUGAAAUGCGCAGAUAUCAGGAAGAACACCGAUGGCGAAGGCAGCUCUCUGGGACGGUACUGACGCUGAGACGCGAAAGCGUGGGGAGCGAACAGG